rnacentral:rRNA from 1 species
GUAAGGAAUAUUGGACAAUGGACGCAAGUCUGAUCCAGCCAUGCCGCGUGAAGGAUUAAGGUCCUCUGGAUUGUAAACUUCUUUUAUAAGGGACGAAAAAAGGCUUUUCUAAGUCGUCUGACGGUACCCUAUGAAUAAGCACCGGCUAACUCCGUGCCAGCAGCCGCGGUAAUACGGAGGGUGCAAGCGUUAUCCGGAUUCACUGGGUUUAAAGGGUGCGUAGGCGGGCAGGUAAGUCAGUGGUGAAAUCCUAGAGCUUAACUCUAGAACUGCCAUUGAUACUAUCUGUCUUGAAUAUUGUGGAGGUAAGCGGAAUAUGUCAUGUAGCGGUGAAAUGCUUAGAUAUGACAUAGAACACCUAUUGCGAAGGCAGCUUACUACGCAUAUAUUGACGCUGAGGCACGAAAGCGUGGGGAUCAAACAGGAUUAGAUACCCUUGUAGUCC